AAACUUUCAACAACGGAUCUCUUGGUUCUGA
rnacentral:rRNA from 1 species